CUGGUUUGCUCUGGGACUGCUCUGGGGAGAGCUGUGUGAAGCUGAGGGAGCUUAUCUGCUGUCCAUGUGAUGGACUGACUGGAUAUGGAAGAUAUUUGGGUGACCUCUUCCCAGGCCUAUUCUUCCUCUUCCUCAAGCCGUUGCCUGUUCGACAUGAGAUGUGUCCUUCAAUAAGUCAGUAGCAGAUUGCCUCAAGGCAGGAGACAACUAAGGCUCCAACAGAAAGGACAAAUUGCAAGAAUGGGACAGAGAUCAUAUUCUCAAAAGGACUUUUUAAUAAAAACUCACUGAAAGCAAUUAAUUUUUCCUGAUGUUUUAAU